rnacentral:piRNA from 1 species
GCAAGGGAACCACUAAGUAAACUACAAC